AAUUUUGCUCCCAAGCCAGAGCCCGAUCACCAUGACAACUGGACAGAAGUUGAUGAGAGCUAUUAGAGUUUUUUAAUUCGGUGGACCAGAAGUGCUGAAACUCCACUCGGAUGUUGCAGUACUGAGUCCAAAAGGCUUUCAGGUUCUAAUCAAGGUCCACGCCUGUGGUGUCAACCCCAUGGAGACAAACAUUCGCUCUGGAACUUACAGUAGAAAACCACUCUUGCACUGCACUCCUGGCUCAGAUGUGGCUGGGGUAAUAGAAGUUGUUGGAGAUAAUGUAUCUGCUUUCAAGAAAGGUGACAGAGUUUUCACGACCAGCACGAUCUCGGGGGGAUACACAGAGUAUGCGCUUGCUGCAGAUCACACUGUCUACAAACUGCCUGAAAAACUGAACUUCAGACAAAGAGCUGCCAUCGGAAUCCUGUAUUUUACCACUUAUCAAGCUCUGAUCCACACUGCCCGUGCAAAAGCUGGAGAGAUUGUUCUGGCUCAUGGGGCUAGUGGAGGAGUUGGAAUAGCAGCAUGCCAAAUCGCAUGAGUUUAUGGCUUAAAGGUUUGGGGCACAGCUGGUACCGAGGAGAGACAAAAAAUUGUUCUACAAAAUGGAGCCCAUGAAGUGUUUAAUCACAGAGAAGUUAAUUACAUUGAUAAAAUUAAGAAAUCUGUCAGUGAGAAAGGAAUUGAUGUGAUUAUGGAAAUGUUGGCUAAUGUAAAUCUUAGCAAGGAUUUGAAUCUUCUGUCUUACGGAGGACGAGUAAUGGUUGUUGGCAACAGGGGAACGAUUGAAAUAAACCCACGGGACACGAUGGCAAAGGAGUCUAGUAUCAUAGGAGUCUCUCUCUUUUCCUCAACCAAGGAGGAAUUUCAGCAAUUUGCAGCUGCUCUUCAAGCUGGAAUGGAAGUUGGUUGGUUGAAACCUGUAAUAGGCCCUCAGUAUCCAUUGGAGAAGGUGGCCCAAGCUCAUGAAAGUAUCAUUGAGGGCAGUGGGGCCACUGGGAAAAUGAUUCUUGUCUUAUGAUGAUCAGUUCUUUCGUGGAUUUCCUGUGUAAUUAGAGGUUAUCUUCUCCCCUAGUUUUACUUACACUCUUAUUUCUUUAGUUAACAUUCCUUUGAUUCAGUGAGUUUCUUAUGUGAAAAAACAAGAUUUUUCUUUAGCGAGCAGAGGCAGUGGAAUAAAG